UACGUAGGGUGCAAGCGUUGUCCGGAAUUAUUGGGCGUAAAGAGCUUGUAGGCGGUUUGUCGCGUCUGCUGUGAAAUUUCGGGGCUCAACCCCGAACUUGCAGUGGGUACGGGCAGACUAGAGUGUGGUAGGGGAGACUGGAAUUCCUGGUGUAGCGGUGAAAUGCGCAGAUAUCAGGAGGAACACCGAUUGCGAAGGCAGCUCACAAAACUAUAACUGACGCUGAGGCACGAAAGCGUGGGUAGUCAAACAGG
rnacentral:rRNA from 1 species